rnacentral:lncRNA from 1 species
CUUUCAAUCACAUUUGAUUGGUCCUGUUUUUAUCAUUUAUUAAGUGGCAUUCUCUGUCUUUUAGCAUGAUCCUUACUGUCCUUUAGCACUCCUUAUACAAAGAUAUAGUUUUGCUUCCCUUUCAUUAAGUUCCAGUAUUUUCUGACAGUGAGCUUAUGUUGUCCACAUCAUCUGCUACAAAGAUUAUUUUAACUUCCAGUUCCUUUAAAUUGUUUCUCUUGUAACAGGACCCAGACCCGUGAGGUGUUGAACAUUUCUGAUGAGGAAUUGGGUACCUUCAACACUAUGUGACUGUGAAGUGACUCCAAAGCAGCUGAAACAAUAUUUGAUUUUUUCCAGAAGCAGAAGUGAACAAAUCUGAGCCACUGGCUAUCUGUCAGAGUGGUUACGGUGCUAAUGAAAAUUUGGAACGCCACUGCAAACUGGAAUGUUUGGCAGAAGCAAAACACUUCUGUGCUGUUUAUGAGGUAUAUAAAAAGGAAAAGAUUUUCCACCUGCAAAAUAUCUGAACGACCCCUGCCAUAUCUCCUACCCACAUUAUGCUGUGUGGAAUACUCUGCAGAAGAAAAUUCUUUUCCUUGA